ensembl:lncRNA BTG1-DT BTG1 divergent transcript
CAGGCUCUGCGCCAGUGCAUCCUUCUCCAAGAGUGCGCUGCCUGGGCCCGCUUGCCCUGGAGUUAACUUCAGCAGUCAACGGAGAGAAGAGUGGAAACCUUACUGGAUGCGGACAGGAGAGCCAGUUACUGAAAGCAGAUAUAACGCGGAUCCUGUAAAGAGUGAAUUGUAUAUUUCCACAUAUGCUGGACAAUAGGCAGAAAGUGGAGACCCAAAGAACUUGUGAUAUGACGGACAUAAGAAGCUUCAGUUGGCCUCAAAUGUCAAAUAAUAUCCUUCCUGAAUAAUCAAGAAUGUCAAGCUUUUACUUUCUACAUCUUGGACUGUACUUUGUACCAAUCUCAAGUCCCAUAUGAUGCACUUUCUAGGUGAAAAGUUUUUUUUUACAGACCUUAAAUUUUUCUUUAUUUACUUUUUAGAGUGAUGGUAUAUAUUAGUUUCACCACGUUAGUAAUUCAUGCUAUAUAAAUGAUAAGCCAAAGUAAGAAAAAUAGUGAAAUGAAUUGCAAAUCUAACUACAUUUUUUAGUUUCCAUAAUCACCACAGAAAUUGCUGUUAGUGCACUUGAUCCAAGAAGAGUCAUUCACAAUCUCUCCCUUGCAUGUUUCCCACCUGGAUACAGAUUCGUUUAGAGGUCAGCCUCUGACACAAGAUCAGUCAAUCCAAUGCCUGCCAUUAUAGUUUUGGAAAGGUGCCUAAAAAGACAUUAAUUUUCCUCCAAAUGACAGAAACUAAAGGCAGGUGAAUGCGGCAGCUAUUGGUGUACUUGGAUGCUGAGGAUCAGGCAGAGUGGCUUGGUAAUGAGAGAGAUGAAUGAGACAGACACCCAGAGAGAAAGGAAAUUAAGGAGCAGUAAAAGCAUUUUACACCCCUCCCUCCACUCUGCCAACCCUCAGGGCUCAUACACUUUUGCUAACUAUAUCACUUAUGUGCUGUUGUAUACCAAAUUACCUCAAAACUAAGUGGCUUAACACAACAGCAUGUAUUAUCCCACAAUUUCUGUGGGCUGAGAAUCUAGACAGGGAGUAGUUGGAUCCCCUGUGUCAGAGUCUUCCACGAGUUUGCAGUCAAAGUCCUGACUGAGGUUGUGGUUUCAUCUGAAAUUUCAAAUGGGGAAGGAUCCUUUCCCAAGUUCACUCAUAUGGCUGCAGUAGGAUUCAGUUUCCUGCAGACUGUUACACUAAUAGCCUCAGUUUCUCACCACCUGUUGGCCAGAGGCUGCACUCAGUUUCUUGUCACAUAAGCUUCUCAGCUCACAGCAUGGCAUCUGCCUUUGUCAGAGUGAAAAGAGAAAAAGCCACCAAGAAGGAAGUCAUGGUCUAAUCUUGGAGGAGAAUCUUAUGACUUUUGCUGCUCUCUUCUUGUUAGAAGCCACUACAUCCAGCCUCUACUCAUGGGAAGGAAAUGACACAAGGUGUGGGUAUCAGGAGGCAGAAAUCUUUGAGAGCUGUUUUAAAAGCAACCUAACACACUGACAUAUUUCAGUCCUUAGGCACUGUAAAAUAGCCCAAAUAUCCCUGCAGUACAUCUGAAUGCUUGCCUAAAUUCUCCAAAAUUCUUUUCUAUUAUUUACAAUCAAAACUUCUUACAUAUAUCGAAUAGUUUAAUUAAAUCCAAAUUUAGAAUCAAGAGGCAAUUGUAUUAUGAGAAAAUAUAUUACUACAUUUCUAAGUUCCUUUGUCACACAUACACAAACACAACUAACAGAGUAUUUAAUAGUGAUAAAGGCUGAGAUAUGAGAAAACAAAAUACUAGGAAUUCUUACUACUAGGAAAAUAAAUCCUAUGAAGAUGAAAAUUGCUGAAAUUUUCAAGUAGAUAGUGAAAAUACAUGGUGGUUGUGGCAUUUCUUCCUCUCCUCCCCUUCUUCCUCCUCCUCCUCCUCCUCAUCCUCCUCCUCCUUCUUCUUUUAAAACCCUAAAUACUUUCAUGGAGGUCAUUUAUUUUUCCAUGCUUUUCAUUUUCUAAACAUCUUAGUUUUCUCUCAUCAUCUUAUACAGUGGAAAAAGUAAGCAAAAAAAAUAGGAUAACACUAUGAUAAAUUUGAAUGUUUCUCUGCUUCAGAUUACAAGGUACGUUUUUGUGGUAAUUAUAAAAAUUGAAAAAAAAAUGGUGAAAACCCCUUAUCUUGGGUUACUGUGUCAAGUAGGAAGUUGAGCAGCAUUUCAAAAAACACCUUUAGCAAAAGUCCCCUCCCUGGUUUUUCCUGCAAACAUUAACCUCAAGCGUUUAGUUCCUUCCAUAUUAUUUAUACAUUUAACCUCAAAAUUUUAUUUAAGAAGUCACAAGAAGAUCUAAGAAAAGGCCCAAAUGUCAGCCAUCUGUGGACCAGACCUGAAAAUCUUCCUGGAGGAGAUGAAAACCUCUCAUUUCAUAGAACUGAAAAAGGGCCAUUGUAUAGACCAGCAGCUGCGGUGCAGCUCCUCCAGGUCUCACCACUGAAUCAGGAAUCCUAUAAAUAUGCACCUCAACCACAUAAACAGUUUCUCUUCAGUUUCUGGAUUGGAGUUUAUCUUUGCUGUGCAGAAUCAAUUUAGCUUUGGACAGAAAAAUUUGCAAGAAAUCAAAAAAGCGGGUUUAAAAAGCAAACAAAGAGACAGGAUGGGCACGAUUUCCUAAACAUACCAGAACAGAGCCAUGUGUUGGAUGCUAUAUAAGAAAGCAAAGAAAUUCCCAAAAGAUUACCUCAAGUUGGUUUCUCAUUUUGGUAAAGAUUUCUUGUGUCUCUUGGUUCUAUCAAUUUAAAUAGAGCCUGAAAGAUACAAUGACAGUAUAAACUAUGUCCAAAAGACCUCCGAAUCGGAAAGGGAAGUUUGGUGCCUCCCAAAAGGAGGGUGAGGGGCAGGAGAAUAUGGUGAAUAUAUAUCACUUUUCGCAGGCGCCUCUUCUGGAUUUUGACCGUUAUAAAGCAGAACAAAUAGAUAAAGAAAGAAGACUCACAAAUGGCUUUUUUCAUUAAGAUGAUAUACCUUUCAUUUCUACUUUUUCUCAGUUGAUAAGCCCCAAAAUAACACAGAGACACUGAAAAAAGCCUUCUUACAACCUUCUUACAAUUUUCUAUACUGCCAGUUUCACCAGCCUUUUAGGUGUUGGUUGGGACCCUACUGGCCUCUAACGCUGGUUUUUUCAGUAGUGUAUCCACCAACUGGUUCUGAUUGGCACUUUUCAUCUUCAAAUAUGCGAUGUUCUGCCUCACUGACAAUGGCAGAUGGGCCAGUAAAUCUCAAUCUUGACCUCACAUUAGGAUCACCUGGGAAAGUGUUAGAAAAACAAAAUCCCAGUGUCCAGGCUUCUCCCUGGACCAAUCAAAUCUGAAUCUCUAAUGGUAGGAUUCAUGCACUGAUAUUUUUUGAAGCUUCCCAAUGACUGCCAUGUGUGGCCAAAGCUGAAAACCCCUGUUAGAUUCUAUUUUGGUAUAUUAACUAUGAUCUUAACUAAUGAAAGUUGCUGAACUGCUGGGGAACUUGACUAAGCAAUGGAAUAUCCCUUAGAAACACAAUGAACACCCACUAAUUUUAGGCAGUAACACAAAAUUAUUGGGGCCUUAAUAUUCUCUUUAGAGAAAUACAUUCCACAGAAUUCCACAAGUUGUAGAUGACAUGUUCUCGCUUAUGAAAGAAUAUGCCACCAGGUUCAUAGGAGAAAAAAUAUGGUGCUGCUUUUACUAAGCCACCAAAGAGAACAACAUAAGAAAAUCAUCAAUUCCUAACUAUGGUGAAAGUGCCUAUAAUAUAUCACAAACAUGAGAAGCAACCUUUUCACCAUUAAGUGGACUCUGACAAAGCAGUUAAUAGAAUCUUGAAGUCUAGAAGGAAUCCUUUAAGAUGUGUAAUAAUACUAUUCUACACCUGAGGAACUUAGGGUCAGAGAUAAGUGGCUAGUCUGAUAAUUUACUGCUCAUGAGGGGUGUUAUAAAAACUGCCCUUGUCCUCAUUCCUAGUCCAGGGGUUGCAUUUUUAAUGUACACAGAAGCAUUUAAUUUCAUGUAUGGCCAAUAGUAAACGCUCAAUAAAUUGUAGCUGUUGGGAGAAGUAAUGAUGAUAGUAUUAAUGAUCACAUUGGUAAUAAUAAUGUCUACGGGGUUUUCCAGUGUUAUAAACACUGCCUUAAAAUCCUUAGCAAAUAAAAAACUAUUUCUUGCUGGGCACAGUGGCUCAUGCCUGUAAUACCUGCUACUCAGGAGGCUGAGGUGGGAGGAUUGAUUGAGGCCAGGAGUUCAAGGCCACCCUGGGCAACAUAGCAAGACCCCAUCUCUAAAAACAACCAACCAAACAAAAACCUAUUUCUUUUGUUGAUGACACCUUAUUUAUUUGAAACACAAGAAAUUUAAAAAGCAAAAUAAUAAACAGGGGAAAUAAAAAGCCUUUCAUUUAGAGCUGCAAUGAAAAUUUAGCAUAGUCUUUCACUAUUGAAUGACUCAUCAGUUGAACACUUUAUGUAAUUAAUUAUAAAAUAUAUGUAAUUUGAUCUGAUUUUGUCUAGAAGAUUCUAGAGUAUCAUUUUCCUUAUGCAAAUACUAUACAUAUGUUUAUAUCUAAAGAGUUAAAGGUACUUUCACAGGUUAUUUAAUUCAAUUCUCACAUACAAUUAGAAAACGGAGAUAUUAUCCCUCCUUCUUUAAAAUUAAAAAAACAUAAGCUCAGAGAAUGAAAGGGGACGUGGCUAAAGUGGCUCCACUAAUAAGUGGCAUGGCCAGUAGUUCAUCACAGGUUUUCCACCUUUGAGACUGUCCUUAGGUUACUUCUUUGGACUAUGUCACUCUGGCCUUUUGAAUAAUUAACUUUACAGAGCAAGAGUGUAAUGCUAUGUCCCUGGCUUUCAUCAGGCAAAAUGUGAAACACAUCCAUUUGAAAACUUGCUUUUUGAAAACACAGGACCUCAUUAUGUUGUUCAGUGUCUCUCCUUUAAAUUCUCAACGACAAAUUAUUCUCCGAGUUCAGAGUCAGGAAAGUAUCUAUAUCAUCCACCAAAACCGGGAGCUUUCUUUUGUUAGAUCUAGAGAGUUAUAUGAUCCAUUGAAUGUCCCUCCUUGCCUUGGCUUCUAGGGUGCUCAGAGCAAAGUUUUAUACUUAGUCACUCCGGUUCUGGUUCUUCUCAAUCCAAGUUUCUAUUGCAUCCUCUCUCUCUUCCCCUUCACCUCCCAAACCACUACCACCUUUAAUAUAUUACUUUCGCUUUUUGUAUUUAUCAGUGAUUCAAUUUUAUUUUACUGUGAUUUUGGUAAACAUCCGUAGUGUUCAACUACUUGGCAGAUUUGUCCCCCUUUUUGUGAUAAUAGAACUCUAACACUUCUUGGUUACAUCACAUGUUUUACUAUCUGAUGAUUAUGUUGGUCAUCAAUCCUUCUUCUGCAAGGAACACAAUAUAACAACAUUACAAUGCAUCUUUGUUUUGUUUUUGCUGAUUUGGGUAGAACAUAGCAAAAAUAAAAAUGCGUUCAUUUUCUGUCAUUUUGGUAAUAAAUCUGAAGCCAUGCUUAACAGAAUAGUUUUAAGUUUAAAAUGAAAUAAUUUUAUAAAUAUUUUACCCUUUUAAAACAAGGACGUCUCAGUUCUUAUGGCAUCAAGAUGCUCAAAUUAAAUUCACAAGGCUCUUCAGGACCAAUUAUAUCGGUGUUUAACCCUCCCAGUGUCUUUUUUGCAUCUUAAUAUCAUUGAUUUCUUUACCAAUAAUGCCAAAUACAGAAACUACCCCUGCUUA